GUAAAGGCUGAUUUAAAACUAAUUUAAUUUAGUGUAAUAACAUAGUGUAUGUUUUUUAAGUAAAAAAUUUUGGGGUCAGCAGUGUUAUUUUAAUAUUAUUUAUAUUUUAUUAUAGUUUUUAUUAAUAUUUUGAUUUAGCUUUUACUUUAUAUUUUCAGUUUUUGUUUUAAAUUGUUUAAUUUUUUCAUAAUUUUCUUUGCUUUUGUCAGUUUUUAAUAUUACUACUUAUAAUAAUAAUCAAUAGUAUAGUUAAUAAUAUUAUAAUAGUAUCAAAAGGUUUAUUUGAUUUUUAUUUUAGUUAAGUAAAGGCAUUUAUAAUGUUACAAAAAAUUCCUAUUUCAAAUAAAUGCUGUGCUUUUGCACUUUGUAUUAAGAAUCCCCCAAAAAACUUAAGCAGCACAAUUGUUGAUAAUGAGAAAUGUUUUUUGAGCAGCAAAUCAGCAUAUUAGAAUUACUGUAUGGUAAUUUUGUUCGAUCAGUUGUUUGCCAGACCUGGCUGAGAUUGCCGACGUCUACAGCAUAUCGUGUUCACCAGCCUAUCACCAAGAAUGGGUGGAGUCAGCUGAAGCCCCGCCCAUCCCUCUCAGCAGAGGACAUCCACCCUGUAACAGCACCCCACACAGCCCAAAAGACUGUAGGACACACCUUCAAUAUGUGCAGGUUGGCACUGAACACCUCCAGAGCCUGUUGGACUCGUCACCAUGGGACAGUGCUCCAUCCCAUACUGUCUGCACAGAGAGUUACGCCACAGCCAGCGCAGGAGACAGCAGCACAGUCAGUCAAUGAAUCAUUAUAUUUGAAUGAUAUAUUUUUACAAUCGUAUCAGUAUCAGGCAAUAAAUGUGACUCUUUAUGUUUUCUGUAUCAGUCCAAUAAGUAAAAUAAACUGAUAUAUUUAAGCUGACAAUCUGUACUCAAAUGAACACCCCAGAUUAUUUAUACCAGUUGGCCUAAAUAAUGUUAAACAUAAAAUGUCUACUUAAAGCCUGUAAGAUUUUUUGUCCAGAGUUAACAGGCAUUUUGUUUCUAUAAUCUUUGUUAUAUUUGUGCAAUUUUUAACUUUUACUGUACAAAAGAAUGUUGGCUAUAU
ensembl:lncRNA